rnacentral:rRNA from 1 species
CAGAGGGUGCGAGCGUUGUUCGGAAUUACUGGGCGUAAAGCGCGCGCAGGCGGCCUUUUAAGUCUGACGGUGAAAUGCCGGGGCUCAACCCCGUGCCCGCCGCGGAUACUGGGAGGCUGGAGACACGUAGAGGCAAGCGGAAUUCCGGGUGUAGCGGUGGAAUGCGUAGAGAUCCGGAAGAACACCGGAGGCGAAGGCGGCUUGCUGGGCGUAGUCUGACGCUGAGGCGCGAAAGCGUGGGGAGCGAACAGGAUUAGAUACCCUGGUAGUCCACGCCGUAAACGAUGGGCACUAGACGCUGGGGGGAUCGACCCUCUCGGUGUCGCAGCUAACGCGAUAAGUGCCCCGCCUGGGGAGUACGGCCGCAAGGCUG